CUUCCUUCAAGCACGUGGACCGACACCCAGGCCUCCUGGUGUCCUGACACUGCAGACUCCUGGAAUAUACCUCCACCAGCAGGCAGGAAUCUGUCCUAUUCCCAGCAACCACUAGAGGCACUGCCUGACCCUACUGCGGCCACAAGCAGAGGGACCCCAGGAUUCUCAAAUCUGUUACCUUGUCUCACCUCCCCUAGGAAGCAGAAGAGUGCUAUGAAAAUCUUUAGCUGCUGAUCACAGCUAUAAACGAGAUGAGGAGGGUCCCUGUCCUCUUGGUGUUUCCAGUCUCCCAAAGAAGACAGACAUGAAACAAUGAUGGUUACAGUUCAAGAUGGAGGUACUAUCUGAGCUUAUGGCAAGGGGUUUUAAUCUCAUCCAAAGGGCCAAGGAAUGCCUCUUUAAAGAAGAGAGAACAAAUAAAAAUCAUUCAUAAUUCCAUCACCUAUAAAUAA
ensembl:lncRNA novel transcript